rnacentral:rRNA from 1 species
UACGGAGGGUGCAAGCGUUGUUCGGAAUUAUUGGGCGUAAAGGGCAGGUAGGUGGUCUUAUAAGUCUACUGUGAAAUCCCCGAGCUUAACUCGGGAAGUGCGGUGGAUACUGUAAGACUAGAGUGCCGGAGGGGUUCGUGGAAUUCCUGGUGUAGCGGUGAAAUGCGUAGAUAUCAGGAGGAACACCAGAGGCGAAGGCGGCGAACUGGACGGCAACUGACACUCAACUGCGAAAGCGUGGGGAGCAAACAGG